rnacentral:rRNA from 1 species
AGAAAGUAAGAAAGGGCGAAUGGUGGAUGCCUAGGCUCAUUCAGGCGAUGAAGGACGUGAUAAGCUGCGAUAAGCGACGGGUAGGUGCAAAUAACCCUUGAUCCGUUGAUUUCCGAAUGGGACAACCCAGACAUGUGAAGCAUGUCUACUCUGCCUUGUGCAGAGAGCUAACCGGGGGAACUGAAACAUCUUAGUACCCCGAGGAAGAGAAAAUAAAUAAUGAUUCCCUUAGUAGUGGCGAGCGAACGGGGAAAAGCCCAAACCGUCAUGGUAGCAAUGCCAUGCCGGGGUUGUAGGACCGCGCCAUCGUACACGAAUCGUGAGGAGAAGGAACUGGAAAGUUCCGCCAUAGCGGGUGAAAGCCCCUUAUCCGAAGCGUGCCGUGACGUAGCGGUAUCCUGAGUAACGCGGGACACGAGUAAUCUUGCGCGAAUCCGCCGGGCCCAUCCGGUAAGGCUAAAUACUCGAAUGAGACCGAUAGUGAACGAGUACCGUGAGGGAAAGGUGAAAAGUACUUCGACAAGAAGAGUGAAAUAGUUCCUGAACCCAUUCGCCUACAAGCGGUCGGAGCUCUGUUAUAGAGUGACGGCGUGCCUUUUGCAUAAUGAACCUACGAGUUACCGUCACCGGCGAGGUUAAGUGACAUGAGUCACGUUAUCCGUAGUGAAAGCGAGCCUGAAGAGGGCGUUAUAGUCGGUGGGGGUAGACGCGAAACCAAGUGAUCUACACA